UCCUCGGUGGCGCAAUUGGCUAGCGCGUCGUAAGUUGUCUUAGAUAAAAAAUCAAAUCCAAUAGAAUUCUAAUGAUAAUAUAGUGACUGUUAAUCAGGAGGUUGAAAGUUCGAGCCUUUCCCGGGGAG